ensembl:lncRNA
UCUCCAUUACUAGGGUUAGGGAACCUUUGAUCAUCUCCUCCUCUCCCUCCCCCAGCUGUCUUCACUUUGUUCCUCCUUCUGUUCGACUCCUCCAUUCUUUCUCCUUGCUGAUAUCGGUACAGGGAUGGAGAUGUGUUUGUGGACAAUUCUGGGAGAAAACAGAAGAUAAGCUUGCAUCCGACAUUGGCCAUGGAAUUCUGAAGUCCAAAUGUCUCCAUGCUCUGAAGAAUUCCUGCUCAAGGAAUCUAAAGGAUGUCUAACACAAGAUGGUUGGUUAUUUUCUCUGAUGGCCUUAAUCCUUGUCUUCUAAAAAGAGGGUCUGUGUGAAGGAGGCCAAUGGAAGGAUUCCCAGGAUCCCUAUUCCAGUCAGAGUGUGGAUGGCCACACCCACCAUCACCUCCUCAGACACCGUCCCUCAGUGACUGGGGUCUGUAACCAGUUACAGCAUCUGUAGACAAACCAAACAGACAUGAGAGUUUCUCUACACUGUAUGAAAUAGAAUUGUCACUCAUUUCUUCUUUAUAACUAAACUCCUUAAAGAUAGUUUUAUGUGUGUACUGUGUUUUGCGUGCUUAUAUUCCUGUACACCAGCAUGCCUUGUGCCUACAGAGGCCAGAAGAGGUUUUGAUUUCCUGGACUAAAGCUUAAGUUGUUUCUGAGCCAUCAUGUGGUUUCUGGGAAUUGAAUCAGGAUCUUCUAAAAAGAACAGCCAGUGCCCUUAACGGCUAAUGCAUCUCUCUAGCUCCCUAAAUAUCUUGAGUUUUUAAACCAGCUGUUCCUCAGCGAAAAAUACAUGUCGAGUGUGUGUGUGUGUGUGUGUGUGUGUGUGUGUGUGUGUGUGUGUGUGGCUCCCUCACAUGAAAUAGAUUUAGAAGAGGUGAGUGUGAAGACAGGGAGACGGACGGGAAAGGUGGGAUUCUCGACACUUGGCUACGACCUCUCUUCUUGACCUUGAGGUUCCAUCAAGCCAUAGUCUGGUAUAAAUGACUUCAUUUUGGUCUGACAACCUUCACAUCUGUUAUUUUUAUCCCAUGGCGAAUAUGGUGCUUUGAAUAUGCUUGUUCUGGGGAGUGGCACUAUUUGCAGUUGCAGCCUUGUUAGAGUAGGAGUGUGGGUUUGGGCUUUAAGACUCUUGUCCUAGCUGCCUGAAAGCCAGUGUUCUCCUGUCUGCCUUUGAGUGAAGAUGUAGAACUCUCAGCUCCUCCAUCACCAUGCUUGCCUUGAUGAUAAUGGACUGAACCUCGGAAUCUGUAAGCCAGCCCCAAUUAAAUGUGUUUUAGAAGAGUUGCCUUGGUCAUGGUGUCUGUUCACAGCAGUAAAACACUAAGACAGUGAGUAACAAAAAUUAUAUCCCAUAACUCCAACUGUUGGUAUCAGGAACCGCUGCCUCCAGCAGUGAUGUCACCUCAUCACCUGAGCAUCCAUUGCCAUGGCAACGGCCAUGCAUUCCCAGCAUACAUUUGGUUCAGCUCCCACCUUCACCUGGGAGCAGUUACAUCAGAGUUCAAAUAAAAGGCAGACCCUUUCUGCUCCCCUUUUUCUUCUCUUUUUCUCUCUUCUCUUUCUCUCUCUUCUCCUUCUCUUGCUCCAAGCCCCUUAUCUCUGUCGUCCCAGUAAACCUCCUCCACAUGGCCUGGUAUGGUUUGUCUUGGCACGAGCCACAAUUUUUGUCCCAACACAACAUUAUACAGUUCCAGUUAUUUAUUGCUAUUUAUUACAAUUACCGUUAGUUAUUACUUAUACACUUUCAAGUUUCUAGUAUCUUAGCAAACGCGUUUGUGAUAUUGUCAGCUUGGCAGGGCCUAGAAUUCCCUGGCAGAGGAGCCUCUAGCCUUGACUAUGAGGAUCAUUUAGAUGGGUCAGCCUCUGGAUGCAUCAGUAAGGAAUGAUCUGUGUGAGGUUAAGUGAGGUGAGAAGACACGCCUUGAAAGCGGGAUCCGUGACUAGACAAUUAGGAGAAAGCUAGGUGAAGAGAAAAUGACCUUGUCACUCUCCCCUUGAUACUUCAGACCGUGUGACCAUCAGCCCCAGGCUCCUCCCCCCAUGACCUCUUCUUGCAGUGACGGGCUGAACACUAAACCCAAGAGCAGCGACAAACAUUUCUUCCCUUCCAUUGCUUCCUCAGCCAUUUUCCUUACCAAAGCACAGUGAAGUGGAAUCCCGUUCAGUGGGACUCAGGCAAAGCAUAAUCAAGUC